AAACCAAAUGUAUUGUUUCUGUACGAAAUAUUCAAAUAUAAUAAUAGGUUAAGGUAGUUUAAAUUAAUGCAUAUCUUAAAGCAUGCCGUUAAAAGCCACCCUGCAUAUCUGGAGGCCAUCUCCUCAAUCUGCAACCUGAGGACAUGCCAUGCUGUGGUGACAAUGGACCCGCUUAACAUGUCUCCUAAUCUGCUGUCUAAAAAUGUGGUCACAAAUGUUUUGGAGAAACAUGCUGCCUCCAUAUUCUUGAUGUAACUGACAUUCACCUAUUUAUAUCAUAAUGCACAAGACCACAAAAUAGACAGCAAAUCUGGAAUUUUGAAGUCCUGCUUCUGUUUCUUCUAAGUUUUUAAAUUCUAUGCAUUGCACAAUAGCUUAGUAUAGGCAAUCUUAAAACUCUUGUCUUUUGAGUUCAGUCUUGAGGAUCCUCCCUUUACAGUAUACCGUCAAGCAGAAGACAUUGUAAUGGUUCUGAACAUGUCUGAAUAGUUAGCAAGUGCGAGGUUUCCAACUUCAAAGUUGUUCAAGCUCUCAAAAGAAAAAUAAGAGCGUAAAGAGUGAUAGGACCAACAAAUUAAGACAUGAACAUGUUUUUUGGAACAGUUGUUAUGAUUUACUUGUGAACAAUGUCCUAACAAAAAUACAUUACACCACAUCAGAUUAUAUACUCACAAACAGUGUACCACCUCCAUUCUUUCCAUACUAUAAAUGCACCUACAGACAAACACAAACAGUAAUAUAAAAGGGGGGGAAAAACAUUUCUAUGUAAAGGCACACUCUUCCCUAUUAAUAUUUAUAACCUGUCAUUUGUACCAUUCUUCACUGAUAUUAAGUACAACAAAAACAUCACUUCUCACACAAAACUAACUGUAACUAAUCCAUAAACUCAGUGGAACUAGUAAGCCAAUGAAAUUCCCUAAAAAUUACUUACAUAAGAGUGUGAUGAAAUAAUAAUUGUCCUCAAUUAAUAACUUUAUAUACACUUAAUUCUGUAGUUUGUUUAGUCUUCAACAUAAAUUAAGUACUAAACAUGACUCAUAAAAUUCAUGUUUAAAAAAGUCAGAAUUAUUUUAUAAUCUGUAUAAAAUUAGCAAAUGAAACUUAAUUCUGUUGAAUUCUCUUAUUGCAACAUUUAUGCUUUCCAGCCAACAGUAAAAUAUAUUGAAAUGUUUAAAGGAACAACAAUUUUGCCUUCAGGAAGACAAAACAAAAUAACUUAGCCACUAACAUAAUAGGGAUCCAGAUGCCGAUCAUAAUUUUAUAGAUCUUCCAGGGCUACAGGAAAUAUCACUUAUGUUACUGAUGUACACAACCAGGAAAUCUACAAAGUUACCACACAAACUGAAAGUGAUAGCAAUGCAUAGCAUAUUCAUGAUAUGAGAAACAGUCGUUAAUAUCCCAGAAUUUGAAUUAUUUAGAUAUCAAAUACCCACUGCACAGCUGUCACACACAAUGCAUGAAGUUCUGAAUAUCAUACACCCAAUAGCAAUUGCCAUGCUUCUGGAUCCCUUAUUAGAAGGUGUCAAUAUUAGAAUACUGAUAAACUUGUCAGACUGAAAUAUAAAAAUACAAUUAGCAUAGUAAAUAAAUAACUACCAUUAUUUGUAACUACCUCAAGAACCCUUAGAUCCUCUGCUAUGCUCAUACACAUCAGUUCAACCACAAGAACUAUCAAGAAAAUUACCAUUAUUAUUCUUAACUAAUUAAAGGAGCAUUAUAUUCCAGCCCUCAGUAAUUUCAGCAUCUUCGAACUUAAUUUCAGUUUGUGUCCACUUUUGUCCAUUAACUAAAGUAAAUCAGAUUAUGAAACUAUAAUGAGCCAAAUCUAUUACUAUCUUACUAUAACACAGUGUUUCUUAAUUGUUCUUGAGCAUGCUGUAUAAUGAUAGAUCUGUAACAGUAUUCCAUAGGUCCAUAACAACACAAGUAUCAGUGAGCAAUAAUCAUUUUAGUAAAGAAAAUAUCACUUACUUACAAUUAUCAUUUACUUGAUAAGGCACACAGUCAGGAAUGUACUUUCAUUCCAUAUAAAUACGACCCUUUAUCACAGCAGUUGAAAAUAAACCAUUUGCAUAGUUGGAGUUGCAUACCUGUAUGAUACAAAAUUUAUCUACCAACUCAAUACUAAAAACAAAUAAGUACAUAUAUUCAAUUUGGAUUUUGA